rnacentral:rRNA from 1 species
ACUACAUGAAGCUGGAAUCGCUAGUAAUCGCGGAUCAGAAUGCCGCGGUGAAUACGUUCCCGGGUCUUGUACACACCGCCCGUCACACCAUGGGAGUCGGAAAUGCCCGAAGUCUGUGACCCAACCUUAGGGAGGGAGCAGCCGAAGGCAAGUCGGAUGACUGGGGUGAAGUCGUAACAAGGUAGC